CGCCGAAAAUGUACCGGGGCUAAACAUAUUACCGAAACUGUGGAUGAACCUCUUUAGAGGUUCGUGGUAGGAGAGCGUUCUAAGGGCGGUGAAGUCAGACCGGAAGGACUGGUGGAGCGCUUAGAAGGGAGAAUGCCGGUAUGAGUAGCGAAAGAAGGGUGAGAAUCCCUUCCACCGAAUAUCUAAGGUUUCCUGAGGAAGGCUCGUCCGCUCAGGGUUAGUCGGGACCUAAGCCGAGGCCGAUAGGCGUAGGCGAUGGACAACAGGUAGAGAUUCCUGUACCAGUGCUAAUUGUUUAACCGAUGGGGUGACACAGAAGGAUAGGGAAUCGCACGAAUGGAAAUGUGCGUCCAAGCAGUGAGUGUGAGAAGUAGGCAAAUCCGCUUCUCGC
rnacentral:rRNA from 1 species